rnacentral:rRNA from 1 species
UACAGAGGUCUCAAGCGUUGUUCGGAUUCAUUGGGCGUAAAGGGUGCGUAGGUGGCGGGGUAAGUCAGGUGUGAAAUCUCGAGGCUCAACCUCGAAACUGCACUUGAUACUGCCUUGCUUGAGUACUGGAGAGGAGAUUGGAAUUUACGGUGUAGCAGUGAAAUGCGUAGAUAUCGUAAGGAAGACCAGUGGCGAAGGCGGGUCUCUGGACAGUUCCUGACGCUGAGGCACGAAGGUCAGGGGAGCAAACGGG